rnacentral:rRNA from 1 species
CCUACGGGAGACAGCAGUGGGGAAUAUUGCACAAUGGGGGAAACCCUGAUGCAGCGACGCCGCGUGAGUGAAGAAGUAUUUCGGUACGUAAAGCUCUAUCAGCAGGGAAGAAAAUGACGGUACCUGACUAAGAAGCCCCGGCUAACUACGUGCCAGCAGCCGCGGUAAUACGUAGGGGGCAAGCGUUAUCCGGAUUUACUGGGUGUAAAGGGAGCGUAGACGGCAGCGCAAGUCUGGAGUGAAAUCCCAUGGCUUAACCAUGGAACUGCUUUGGAAACUGUGCAGCUAGAGUGCAGGAGAGGUAAGCGGAAUUGCUAGUGUAGCGGUGAAAUGCGUAGAUAUUAGGAGGAACACCAGUGGCGAAGGCGGCUUACUGGACUGUAACUGACGUUGAGGCUCGAAAGCGUGGGGAGCAAACAGGAUUAGAUACCCUUGUAGUC